rnacentral:rRNA from 1 species
UACGAAGGGGGCUAGCGUUGUUCGGAAUUACUGGGCGUAAAGCGAGCGUAGGUUGCGCCGCAAGUCAGGGGUGAAAUCCCAGAGCUUAACUCUGGAACUGCCUUUGAAACUGCGGUGCUGGAAUCUCAGAGGGGAUAGCGGAAUUCCAAAUGUAGGGGUGAAAUCCGUAGAUAUUUGGAGGAACACCGGUGGCGAAGGCGGCUAUCUGGAUGAGUAUUGACACUGAGGCUCGAAAGCGUGGGGAUCAAACAGG